UGCAGCAGACUGUAAUUCUGUUGGGGCAGAUAAUCUGGAUGGAUCCACUGCAGGGGGAUUACUUCUGCUGAGGCUCACGUGAAGCCCAGUGAACCAUCUUCAAACAGUGGAAAUAGAGAAGCCAAGAGACAGAUGGACAUUGAAGUGCUCCGGAAGCUGGCAUAUCACUUUAUGUCAAAGGCUCAUGCUCAACUUUGUAAGGAAGCAUGGUGCUACCCCUAAGACUUGGAGGUCUUCGCCUAAUUCGUUUUUAAGAGCAUCACAAGGUUUCCCUAUUGACCCCUGAAUAGGGAAACAGCCUCCAGCCAGCAGUUUGCUUCAUGACAACCCCCCAAAUUUCCUUCUAAGCAGCACUGAAUGAGGCAGUGGUGUUUCGGAGGGCAAAG